UUGCAGUUAAAAAGCUCGUAGUUGGAUUUCUGGGAUUUUCAGCCGGCCGGCUCUUAGGAGUUGUAGCUAGGUUUGCAAGUCUCAUCUUCUCACAAUUCUCACUGGCCUUAACUGUUCGGUGCAGAGGACUGAGUCGUUUACUUUGAGAAAAUUAGAGUGUUCAAAGCAGGCUAUCGCCUUGAAUAUAUUAGCAUGGAAUAAUGAUAUAGGACUUUGGUUCUAUUUUGUUGGUUGUUCGAGGACCGAAGUAAUGAUUGAUAGGGACGGUUGGGGGCGUCAGUAUUCUGAAGCGAGAGGUGAAAUUCUUGGACCUUCGGAAGACUAACAACUGCGAAAGCAUUCGCCUAGGAUGUUCUCUUUAAUCAAGAACGAAAGUUGGGGGAUCGAAGACGAUCAGAUACCGUCCGUAGUCUCAACCUAUAAACUAUGCCAGCCUAGGGAUUGGUGGAUGUUUA
rnacentral:rRNA from 1 species